rnacentral:rRNA from 1 species
UACGUAGGGUGCGAGCGUUAAUCGGAAUUACUGGGCGUAAAGCGUGCGCAGGCGGUUUUGUAAGUCUGACGUGAAAUCCCCGGGCUUAACCUGGGAAUUGCGUUGGAGACUGCAAGGCUGGAGUCUGGCAGAGGGGGGUAGAAUUCCACGUGUAGCAGUGAAAUGCGUAGAGAUGUGGAGGAACACCGAUGGCGAAGGCAGCCCCCUGGGCUAACACUGACGCUCAUGCACGAAAGCGUGGGGAGCAAACGGG